UACGAAAGGUGCGAGCGUUAAUCGGAAUUACUGGGCGUAAAGCGCGCGUAGGUGGUUGAUCAAGUCUGUUGUGAAAGCCCUGGGCUCAACCUGGGAAUGGCAAUGGAAGCUGGUCGGCUAGAGUGCAGUAGAGGGAGGUGGAAUUUCCGGUGUAGCGGUGAAAUGCGUAGAGAUCGGAAGGAACACCAGUGGCGAAGGCGGCCUCCUGGACUGACACUGACACUGAGGUGCGAAAGCGUGGGGAGCAAACAGG
rnacentral:rRNA from 1 species